AUUGAACGCUGGCGGCGGGCUUAACACAUGCAAGUCGAGCGGAGAUGAGGUGCUUGCACCUUAUCUUAGCGGCGGACGGGUGAGUAAUGCUUAGGAAUCUGCCAUUUAGUGGGGGACAACAUUCCGAAAGGAAUGCUAAUACCGCAUACGUCCUACGGGAGAAAGCAGGGGAUCUUCGGACCUUGCGCUAAAGGAUGAGCCUAAGUCGGAUUAGCUAGUUGGUGGGGUAAAGGCCUACUAAGGCGACGAUCUGUAGCGGGUCUGAGAGGAUGAUCCGCCACACCGGGACUGAGACGCGGCCCAGACUCCUACGGGAGGCAGCAGUGGGGAAUAUUGGACAAUGGGGGGAACCCUGAUCCAGCCAUGCCGCGUGUGUGAAGAAGGCCUUUUGGUUGUAAAGCACUUUAAGCGAGGAGGAGGCUACCUGGAUUAAUACUCUGGGAUAGUGGACGUUACUCGCAGAAUAAGCACCGGCUAACUCUGUGCCAGCCGCCGCUGUAA
rnacentral:rRNA from 1 species